CGCCUUUCGAUCAAGUUGAGACGAGCUACGCGCAAUCCCCGUUGCGCGUCCGGCGCGUGACCGAUCUUCAGGUCUCGUGCGUCGCUUCCUCCAUACUGAUGUCUGGCCUCAUUUUCGGUAUUGCGAGGCUUCAGACGGGAUGUUCUCAGAGAGAAGUUGCCACUGAGCUUAGUGUCACAGAGUGCCAUCAGCAGGUUGCAACAGAGAAACAGAGAGACUGGAAGAGUCACAGAAAGGCGUAGAAGGGGGCGUCAUUUGGCCAAAUCCCAUGCUGCUUCAUUGCGAACAGUGCUGUGAUGAAAGUCGACUCACAUUGAGCAGAAAUGUUGUCCAGAAAUGAUCAUGUCAAGGAGAACGCUAUGCAUCAGCCACUGUUGUCACCAGACGAGCCUUUGGAGGUGGUGGUGUUACAGUCUGGGCAGGUGUGUCUAGUCAAAGCAGAACUGCACUACACCUUGUGAAUGGUACUGUGACAACCCAAUACUACCUGAAUAACAUCAUUAAUCCUGUCAUUGUACCUCUGCAUGAGCAACACCGGCCUGAUUUCAUCUUCAUGGACGACAAUGCCCCAGCUCAACGAGGUCGCAUCAUCAGGGAACGGCUGCUGGAGACUGAGGUACCUCAAAUGGAGUGGCCCGCACUUUCUCCAGACCUGAAUCCCAUAGAAAGCCUAUCGUCGUGUAGAGGGUCGUAACCCUGCACCCCAGAACCUCACUGACCUGAGGGCAGCCCUUCAAGAAGACUGGAAUGCCAUCCCUCAGCAGACAAUAAUUUGACUUGUGAACAGCAUGAGACGUCAUUGUCAAGCUGUAAUUGAUGCUCAAGGGCACAUUACAAGUUAUUGAGACACUGACAAUUUUUGUUGUGGUAUACCCAUCACUGUUGUUAGCUUUUGUUUCAAUAAAUUGUUUGAGAUGAAGAAA